rnacentral:rRNA from 1 species
UACGUAGGUGACCAGCGUUGUCCGGAUUUACUGGGCGUAAAGAGCGCGCAGGCGGUCGUUCAAGUCGAGUGUGAAAGCCCCCGGCUCAACUGGGGAGGGUCACUCGAUACUGAUCGACUUGAAGGCAGGAGAGGGAAGCGGAAUUCCCGGUGUAGUGGUGAAAUGCGUAGAUAUCGGGAGGAACACCAAUGGCGAAGGCAGCUCGCUGGGACGGUACUGACGCUGAGGCGCGAAAGCGUGGGGAGCAAACAGG